rnacentral:rRNA from 1 species
UACGGAGGGUGCAAGCAUUAAUCGGAAUUAUUGGGCGUAAAGGGCGUGUAGGCGGGUAAGGAAGUCAGACGUGAAAUCCCGGGGCUUAACCUCGGAACAGCAUUUGAAACUCCUUAUCUAGAGGGUAGACGGAGAAAGCGGAAUUCCACAAGUAGCGGUGAAAUGCGUAGAUAUGUGGAAGAACACCAGUGGCGAAGGCGGCUUUCUAGUUUAAACCUGACGCUAAGGCGCGAAAGCAAGGGGAGCAAACAGG